rnacentral:lncRNA from 1 species
UAAAGAUGUGCCACAAGCCCGUAUUUCAUCACCUCCAACUUGACAGUCUUUGGUCUGCUCAAGGACGUGACACACAGCACAUGUUUUCCAAGCUCCUCUUUAUUGGGAUGGAUCUGGACUGUGAUCUGAACAUGAAAAGCAGCUCACUUUGGUUUGACCAGCUUUUCAUUGCUGAUCACUUUAAAGUAACAAAUCCCAGCUGAAUAACCUUCAAAAUAAAUACAUAUUGACUCUGUGCUUUCACAGAACCAAACUCAGAGGCUUCAUUCAUGUUGGAUACAAAAUCUAAGAAUCAUGACAGGAUCUUAUUCCAUUUCAUUUUAGGCCCCACCUUGCAAUCAAAUGACACUCCAACUGAUACCUAUCCUUAUGAAUGAAAAACUCCAUUAAAAUGUAAUCAGCAUCUAUAAAGAUGACUCCACCUUCUGAUCGAGCAUCAUCUUUCUCUCGAGAUACUCCCUCCCUGUCUCUCUCUCAUUUUGAAUUUGCCAGUGCAGAAGUCAAGCAGAUUUCUCUGCGAUCGCUUCUGCAUUCUAUUUCUAAACAUCAUGACAAACCAUUGACAAAGUCGGUGAAAAUCCGAGUGGAAGGAUAUGCUGUAGGUUUCACACUUUUAGUGAACAUGGAUUAUUUCCAACAGCAUCAAUAAGUCAACACUGAGCUGAUAGCAAGCUCAUUUAAGACUACUGUACUCAUUUGUUUAAAAACUCUUCCUGGGUAAAAGAUAUAUACAAUUUUCUAUACAAAAAAUACAUUUUUUCUGUAAACUGAUAUGUGUUUAGCGCACUCCACAUGUGGAAGUAAGUCAGGAACUCAGCUAACUCAUCUGAAUAGCUGCUAGAUACAGAAACGUGUUUGGUGGGAAUAAACACCUAUAUACUGUAGUGUCUAUACAGAAAUUCACUGUAAAAAAGUACAAAACAAAAACAAACAGGGUAGGGGAGAAUUAUGCUUAAAUAGUGAGGGACACGUGGACUGUAAAUGUGACCAUGUUCAUCCUAACAAAGUACCACCCAGAGACCAAUGACGCUGCACCCCAGGGGCUGCCUGAGUCACGGUGUCGCCAUCAAAGUUCCUCCUGGAUCUGCAAAGUUCUUGCAGGCUCGGAAACCAUCAAAAGUCUGUGAUCCUUUCCACUUUGGGUGUCUUGAGGC